rnacentral:rRNA from 1 species
UGGGGGAUAUUGCACAAUGGGGGAAACCCUGAUGCAGCGACGCCGCGUGGAGGAAGAAGGUUUUCGGAUUGUAAACUCCUGUCGUUAGGGACGAUAAUGACGGUACCUAACAAGAAAGCACCGGCUAACUACGUGCCAGCAGCCGCGGUAAAACGUAGGGUGCAAGCGUUGUCCGGAAUUACUGGGUGUAAAGGGAGCGCAGGCGGACCGGCAAGUUGGAAGUGAAAACCAUGGGCUCAACCCAUGAAUUGCUUUCAAAACUGCUGGCCUUGAGUAGUGCAGAGGUAGGCGGAAUUCCCGGUGUAGCGGUGGAAUGCGUAGAUA